rnacentral:rRNA from 1 species
UUGGAGGGCAAGUCUGGUGCCAGCAGCCGCGGUAAUUCCAGCUCCAAUAGCGUAUAUUAAAGUUGUUGCAGUUAAAAAGCUCGUAGUUGAAUUUCGGGAUCAGAGUGUCGGUCGUGCCUCGGUACGAACUGGUAUUAUUGGUUCCUACCUUCUGAAGAACCGCGAUGUCAUUAAUUUGGUGUCGUGGGGAAUCAGGACUGUUACUUUGAAAAAAUUAGAGUGUUUAAAGCAGGCUUACGCUUGAAUACAUUAGCAUGGAAUAAUGAAAUAGGACGUUUGAUUCUAUUUUGUUGGUUUCUAGGAUUGACGUAAUGAUUAAUAGGGAUAGUUGGGGGCAUUAGUAUUCAAUUGUCAGAGGUGAAAUUCUUGGAUUUAUUGAAGACUAACUACUGCGAAAGCAUUUGCCAAGGAUGUUUUCAUUAAUCAAGAACGAAAGUUAGGGGAUCGAAGACGAUCAGAUACCGUCGUAGUCUUAACCAUAAACUAUGCCGACUAGGGAUCGGAUGAUGUUAAUUUUUUAAUGACUCAUUCGGCGCCUUACGGGAAAC